UUGACGUUGGAUUCCCAGUGAGCGGCGGACGGGUGAGUAACACGUGGGCAACCUGCCCUGAAGCGGGGGAUAACAUCUGGAAACAGGUGCUAAUACCGCAUAACAACGAAAACCACAUGGUUUUCGUUUCAAAGAUGGUUUCGGCUAUCACUUCAGGAUGGGCCCGCGGUGCAUUAGCUAGUUGGUAAGGUAACGGCUUACCAAGGCGAUGAUGCAUAGCCGAGUUGAGAGACUGAUCGGCCACAAUGGAACUGAGACACGGUCCAUACUCCUACGGGAGGCAGCAGUAGGGAAUCUUCCACAAUGGGCGCAAGCCUGAUGGAGCAACACCGCGUGAGUGAAGAAGGGUUUCGGCUCGUAAAGCUCUGUUGUUGGAGAAGAACGUGCGUGAGAGUAACUGUUCACGCAGUGACGGUAUCCAACCAGAAAGUCACGGCUAACUACGUGCCAGCAGCCGCGGUAAUACGUAGGUGGCAAGCGUUAUCCGGAUUUAUUGGGCGUAAAGCGAGCGCAGGCGGUUGCUUAGGUCUGAUGUGAAAGCCUUCGGCUUAACCGAAGAAGUGCAUCGGAAACCGGGCGACUUGAGUGCAGAAGAGGACAGUGGAACUCCAUGUGUAGCGGUGGAAUGCGUAGAUAUAUGGAAGAACACCAGUGGCGAAGGCGGCUGUCUGGUCUGCAACUGACGCUGAGGCUCGAAAGCAUGGGUAGCGAACAGGAUUAGAUACCCUGGUAGUCCAUGCCGUAAACGAUGAGUGCUAGGUGUUGGAGGGUUUCCGCCCUUCAGUGCCGGAGCUAACGCAUUAAGCACUCCGCCUGGGGAGUACGACCGCAAGGUUGAAACUCAAAGGAAUUGACGGGGGCCCGCACAAGCGGUGGAGCAUGUGGUUUAAUUCGAAGCUACGCGAAGAACCUUACCAGGUCUUGACAUCUUGCGCUAACCUAAGAGAUUA
rnacentral:rRNA from 1 species